UACGUAGGUGGCAAGCGUUGUCCGGAUUUAUUGGGUUUAAAGGGUGCGUAGGCGGUUCUAUAAGUCAGUGGGGAAAUCCGGCAGCUCAACUGUCGAUGUGCCAUUGAUACUGCAGAACUUGAGUACAGGCGAGGUAGGCGGAAUUGACGGUGUAGCGGUGAAAUGCUUAGAUAUCGUCAAGAACACCGAUAGCGAAGGCAGCUUACUAGACUGUAACUGACGCUGAUGCACGAAAGUGUGGGGAUCAAACAGG
rnacentral:rRNA from 1 species